UACGUAGACACGUGGUUUCCACAUCAUCACCUACGAACGAGACGCUCCCCCAGUUUUGGUAAAAGUGACUCGAGAUAUCGUCACUUCACCGGUCGGCUCGCUCUCUCCCGUCUUUUCCAGUCACUUCCAAACCGUGAUUGGAGUUCUCCAUUGGGGGGAGAACAUAGGCUGAGGCUCACGCAGCAGAUACAUUGAAGUGCAGCGCUGCAGCAUUGAGCAGCAUUUUGUUGGCUAUAACCGCUCUCCGUGGACCUGACCUGCUCCACCCGCAUAGCACCAGCUCGACAUCCGGUGCUGAAAGGACAGCGCCAGGACCAGCAUCAUAUCAGUGCCGUAUUCUAAAAUGGAUUAAUAAAAAAUAAAAAAUCUACACACAAUACCUCCAUUGAUCAUCCUUGAGAUGUUUCUACAACUUGAUUGUAGUCCACCGGCGGUAAAUUCAAUUGAUUGGACAUGAUUUGGAAAGGCACACACCUGUCUAUAUAAGGUCCCACAGUUGACAGUGCAUGUCAGAGAAAAAAACAAGCCAUGAGGUCGAAGGAAUUGUCCGUAGAGCUCCGAGACAGGAUUGUGUAGAGGCACAGAUCUGGGGAAGGGUACCAAAAAAUGUCUGCAGCAUUGAAGGACUUCAAGAACACAGUGGUCUCCUCAUUUUUAAAUCAAAGAAGUUUGGAACCACCAAGGCCAAACUGAACAAUCCGGGGAGAAGGGCCUUGGUCAAGGAGGUGACCAAGAACCUGAUAGUAUUUUUCAGGUACAGGGACUGGGAGACUAGUCACGAUCGAGGGAAAGAUGAACGGAGCAAUGUACAGCGAGAUCCUUGAUGAAAACCUGCUCCAGAGUGCUCAGGACCUCAGAAUGGAGCAAGGGUUUACCUUCCAACAGGACAGCGACCCUAAGCACACAGCCAAGACAACGUAGGUGUGUCUUCCAGACAAGUCUCUGAAUGUCCUUGAGUGGCCCAGCCAGAGCCCAGACUUGAACCCAUGUCUGGAGAGACCUGAAAAUAGCUGUGCAGCAACGCUCCCCAUCCCACCUGACAGAGCUUGAGAGGAUCUGCAUAGGAGAAUGGGAGAAACCCCCCAAAUACAGGUAAUUGUGGAGACCAGGUCAUCUGAUGCAGCACUCCGUCACUCUCCUUCUUGGUCAAAUAGCCCUUACACAGCCUGGAGGUGUGUUGGGUCAAUGUCCCACUAAGCGCAAACCAGAUGGGAUGGCGUAUCACUACAGCCAUGCUGAUUAAGUGUGCCUUGAAUUCUAAAUAAAUCUCAGACAGUGUCACCAGCAAAGCACCCCCACAGCAUCACACCUCCUCCUCCAUGCUUCACGGUGGGAACCACACAUGCUGAGAUCAUCCGUUCACCUACUCUGAGUCUCACAAAGACACCGUGGUUGCAACCAAAAAUCGCAAAUUUGGACUCAUCAGAACAAAGAACGUAUCUCCACCGGUCUAAUGUCAAGUGCUCGUGUUUCUUGGCCCAAGUAAGUCUCUUCUUCUUAUUGGUGUCCUUUAGUAGUGAUUUCUUUGCAGCAAUUCAACCAUGAAGGCCUGAUUCCAGUGGUCUCCUCUGAGCAGUUGAUGUUGAGAUGUGUCUGUUGCUUGAACUCUGUGAAGCAUUUAUUUGGGCUGCAAUUUCUGAGGCUGGUAACUGUAAUGAUUUUAUCCUCUGCAGUAGAGGUAACUCUGGGUCUUCUUUUCCUGUGUCGGUCCUCAUGAGAGCCAGUUUCAUUACAACGAUGGUUUUUGCAACUGCGCUUGAAGAAACUUUCAAAGUUCUUGAAACUUUCCAUAUUGACUGACCUCCAUGUUUUAAAGUAAUGAUGGACUGUCGUUUCUCUUUGCUGAUUUGACCUGUUCUUGCCAUAAUAUGGACUUGGUCUUUUACCAAAUAGGGCUAUCUUCUGUAUACCACCCCUACCUUGUCACAACACAACUGAUUGGUUAUCUUCUGUAUACCACCCCUACCUUGUCACAACACAACUGAUUGGCUCAAACGCAUUAAGAAGGAAAGACAUUCCACAAAUGAACUUUUAACAAGGCACACCUGUUAAUUGCAAUGCAUUCCAGGUGACUACCUCAUGAAGCUGGUUGAGAGAAUGCCAAGAGUGUACAAAGCUGUCAUCAAGGCAAAGGGUGGCUACUUUGAGGAAUUUCAAAUGUAAAAUAUAUUUUGAUUUGUUUAACACUUGUUUGGUUACUACAUGAUUCCAUAUGUGUUAUUUCAUAGUUUUGAUGUCUCAUUAUUAUUCUACCAUGUAGAAAAUAGUAAAAAUAAAGAAAAAC
ensembl:lncRNA